UAGGAAGGACGAGACUGCAGAGUU
rnacentral:misc_RNA from 1 species